GCUUCUUAUUUGUAUAUGAUUAAUUUCUAGGUAAUUUAUCUAGUAUAACAUAUCAGGAGAUAUUCUUUAUUAAUAUCUUAGUCUCCCAAACAAAGUUUGAUGACUUAUUGUUUUUCGCCAUAAAAUGUUAGACUAAUAUGUCUAGGGGAGCUUCGUUUGUGUAUUGGGGUCUAUUUAGGGGUAUAAUAUUAAGCCAAUGUCAUGAUAGCAAUUUUCUUACAUCACCCUAUUGGGUACUUUUUUAUUCAUAAACAUCAAUGGAUGACCUUAAUACUGGUUACUCAGAUCGUCCUUGUCUGUCAGGUAUUUUAGCUCUCCUGGCCCAAAGGGCCAUGUGAGCUUAUGCCAUCACUUGGCGUCAGUCGUCGUCCGUCGUGGUCCAUCGUUGUCUGUGGUCGUCAGUUGUAAACUAUUUCAAAGAUCUUCUCCUGUGAAACUACUGGGCCAAAUACUUCCAACUUUAAUUGAAUGUUCCUUGGAGUAUCUAGUUAAUUAAUUGUAUCCGAAGUUUUGAUCCAUGAACAAACAUGGCCGCCAUGGCUAAAAAUAGAACAUAGGGG
rnacentral:lncRNA from 1 species